UACGUAGGGGGCCAGCGUUGCUCGGAAUUACUGGGCGUAAAGGGUUCGUAGGGGGUGCGGCAAGUUGGGAGUGAAAUCUCUGGGCUUAACUCAGAGGCUGCUUUCAAAACUGCCGCGCUCGAGUGCGAGAGAGGUCAGUGGAAUUGCAGGUGUAGCGGUGAAAUGCGUAGAUAUCUGCAGGAACACCCGUGGCGAAGGCGGCUGACUGGAUCGCAACUGACACUGAGGAACGAAAGCUAGGGGAGCAAACAGG
rnacentral:rRNA from 1 species